GCUAAAAGCAGAGAUUCUAAGCAAUGGCUCAACUGCAGAUGCAAGUUUGUGAUGUUAAGCGAAAUCUUGUGACUAUCCCGCACUGCAAGAUCGAACACCAUCGAUGUUCAACAUCUCAAGAAUGGUACUGGAUAUGUGAGGGCCUGUGCUCUUCAGUUGGAAGGGAACUGGCAGAAACAUGGAACUUACAUCGAGUUACUAGAGAGCACCGACUUUAAAGUUAGCGGAGAAUGUCAGCUGAAAGCUGGAGAAGACCCUUAUGUAGGCCAUUUUAUGGUCGGGCUGGCAAAGGACCAUAACAUGGGAAAAGUGAAAGCUGCAAAAAGCCCUCCUCAUGAAGAGUCCGAAGAGGACUUCACUUGUCAUAAACCUGGGACAAUGAAACCUAUCGCACUAGGUCUUUGUGAUGGAAAUGUCAAAUUCUGUUUAACCAGCUGUGAUGAACCCUACUGGAAAAAGCAGAAAGGCCUGAUCAUAUAUGGUGUUACUUUCACUCCUAUGAAAAAGCCUUAGAAUGUGAUCACAGUAGCCAUGAGUGUGUUAACUGUCAAGCUCGUGGCUUAUCAUGUUGUUUCAGUUCAUUUCAUGUAAUUAUGAAAUAAAUUACAUUAACAACCCUACACCACCAAGGUUGUUAAUGUACUAUGAAAUAAAGAGAUUAAAACCAUAACUACCAUUUGGUAGGUGGUUUAUUCUUCUUAAUAAAUCCUUCUAUCUGUUCGACCUAACAUGGCUGCUUCUU